AUGUUAAUGAUCGAGAGAAUUAUGAAAUAUCCAUUACCAAGGAUACAUCAUAAAUACGAGCAUCACUGAAGCACUUAAUCAGCUUUCAAUUCGUUCAGUGAUCGAGACGUUGUGAAGCAUUCAAAUCAGUGUUAGUUAUCGCGUAUUCUCGAUCAAUUAGUUUUGAAGUUAUACAAGAGGUUUGUAGCUUUCGGUUUGACUAACACAGCGUGGAGGUAUGCGUGUGGCUUGGUGAUUGGAAUGAAGGACUGCAGCUCGGAAGGAUUCGGGUUCGAGCCGUGACGCUACAAAACACGUUUCACACUUUCAGCUGUGGACUCGUUAUAAGAAUGACAGUAGCUCUUGAGUUAAGAGUAACCAAUUACGUGUUGCUGUAACCUUCCACUUGGUUCGAAGUUCCAGACGAUUACGUCUGAACAAUAUGGCGUGAAUAACAUAGUUAACGUAUUACGAAAUUGAAUUAUUUAUUGGUAUAAGAAUCCUGUGAGUAGCGUAGUCAACAUUACAAAGUUGACAUAAGAAUCAUGUGAGUAAGGUAGUCAACAUUACAAAGCUUACUUUUUCUUCCAUUUAACCCAGCAGUUGAUACUUGACUGUAAUACUGAUAACUUGUAAUAAACCCUGACAGUUGUUCACUAGUUCACAUCAUACUAACUGCUGUUCAUUAAAUUUGAUAGUUAACGUCUGAACAGCUACUGACUACUGUGAGUUAAGUAGUAAUAACAGUUGACCAAAGGAAGCUGCCUAAAAGUUAACCCA